AUGCAGGCCACGCGUCCUGCAGAACCCAAGGCCCAGAGCAGUCACAGGACACUCGGGAUGGUGCUGGAGACAUCAUCAUCCAGCGUCCAGGGCAGACGACCCACGCCCUGGUCCUCCCCGUCCUCACCUGAAGAUGAGCAUGACCCCCUCUCCACUUCUGCUGUGAGAUGCUGCAUUAACAGAAGGAAGUUACCUGAGACAGUGCAUGCCCGAGCCCCCUGGCCAGGCCCCUUUCUGGAUCAGACUCGAAGACCAGCUCCAUUCAGCAAAAGGCCAGCGGGCUGGCAGGGAGUCUGGGAGCCAACACAGAGGGGAGCAGCUGUGCACGACCCACAGAAGAGAGGGUUCUGGGGACACUGAACCGGCCCACAUGGAGCCGAGCCACCUGGCUUUGUGGGAGGCCCAGGACAGAAUGCAGCUGGACGGGUUUGGGGGGUGGAUGGGGUCAGCAAAGGGAAGGCUAAGAGCCUCCUGGCAAACACAAGGGACUUUUCCAGGAUGACCGGAUAGGUUGGGUGACAGCUUCUGAGAAGUCGGACAGGUUGGUGCUGGAGGGACACGGGUGGCCCUUUUGGCCCCAACAUUCUUGGUAUAAGUGGGUUGCACUUCCGCUGAAGAUAAAUUCCAGUGACACUUACGAUAUACACCUCUUCUGGUUGUAAAAGCACACGCAUGGUCAACAAAUAUUUUUGAGCUUUGUGAAUCUGAUGAGUAAAGGAGGUAGAAAGUUUACUGAGGAAAAGUGGAAUAAACAUUUCACCUGUGAAGGACAAUCAUAAGACCUGGGGAAGUCGAGAUGCCCACAGACAGUACUCUGGUGCUUCAUACUACGGGCUUCAGCAGGUGCACGCUUGUGCAAGGCAGAACCCUAACUUUGCUCGGUGUGAAGCUGCCAUCUCCAUUUUACAAAGUGGGAAAAAAUACUGAGCUUGAGUUAUCUACUAAAAGCUAAUCUAUCCUGUGAGGAUUUGUUAAAAUUACUCUCAGUAAGAGUCGACGCGGUAAAAGCUGUAAUUUUCCAACUACCAUCAUAGGUGAGAUUUUGGGAAAGUCGAUAGAAGUGCGGGAUGAUUUGGUGGCUGGAUCAGAACCUCGGUUUUCAGAGCCACAAACUGUCAGGGAAUGAGGGGGGCCGCUGGUGCAAGUGCUGCCUGCUGCUACCACCUCCUUGGUGAGCGUCGCUUCAUUAGGGGGUGUCACCGGCGGGGGCGGCCUGGGGGACCCCGAGGACCCGCGCAGAUGGGUGGGGGUAGAACCCCAAGGGCCGGAGCACCGGCAACUGCGUGGAGUCCCAGCACCCCGGACCUCCGGAUCGCGGGCCUGGGGCGCAGACCCCCGGCCCUCUGCGCCCGACCCGAGGCCUCCCCUCCCCCAUGC
rnacentral:lncRNA from 1 species